CUGAGUUGCAAAACUCCCAAACCACUGUGAACCUUACCUAACGUUGCUUCGGCGGAUCCGCCCCGGCGCUCUCGCGACCGGAACCAGGCGCCCGCCGGGGGAAAACCAAAACCAUUGAAUCUCCGUGGAUUAUCUGAGUGGCGAAAGCACAAAUACAAUCA
rnacentral:misc_RNA from 1 species